rnacentral:rRNA from 1 species
AGAGUUUGAUCCUGGCUCAGAAUCAACGCUGGCGGCGUGCCUAACACAUGCAAGUCGAACGCGAAAGCCCCGCAAGGGGCCAGUAGAGUGGCAAACGGGUGAGUAACACGUGGGUGACCUGCCUUCGAGCGGGGGAUAACGUCCCGAAAGGGACGCUAAUACCGCAUGACAUCCUGCCUUUGAAGAGGUGGAGAUCAAAGCUGGGGAUCGCAAGACCUAGCACUCGAUGAGGGGCCCGCGCCUGAUUAGCUAGUUGGUGGGGUAAUGGCUCACCAAGGCAACGAUCAGUAUCCGGCCUGAGAGGGCGGACGGACACACUGGGACUGAGACACGGCCCAGACUCCUACGGGAGGCAGCAGUGGGGAAUUGUUCGCAAUGGGCGCAAGCCUGACGACGCAACGCCGCGUGGAGGAUGAAGACCUUCGGGUCGUAAACUCCUUUCGAUCGAGACGAAUGGCCUUCGGGUGAACAAUCCGGAGGAGUGACGGUACCGAGAGAAGAAGCCCCGGCUAACUCCGUGCCAGCAGCCGCGGUA